GCAUCUUUCAUUCCAAGUUUGACUCCAGAUUUUGCUGAAUGGAUUAGAAUAAAAACCAGCUAACUAACCAACAAUAGAAACCCAUGAUGUGCUACAAAGGGGAGAGCCCACAGGCACUAUGAAAUUGUCAAGGAUCCUACUUGAAAAGAGGAGUGAAGGGGAAACAACAAUAAACUAAAAUGUCUGAAUGUAUCCAGAUCUCAUUUGCUGUUUGUAGAAUUGGGAUUUACACGAUCCUCUGAGAAGCAGGUGCCAAGUUGGGAUUUGCACCGAAGUUGGGGAAUGUUCAUGAAGUGGAAAGAGGGAGGAAACCACAAAAGG